AACGAACGCUGGCGGCAUGCCUAACACAUGCAAGUCGAACGAGACCUUCGGGUCUAGUGGCGCACGGGUGCGUAACGCGUGGGAAUCUGCCCUUGGGUUCGGAAUAACAGCGAGAAAUUGCUGCUAAUACCGGAUGAUGACGUAAGUCCAAAGAUUUAUCGCCCAAGGAUGAGCCCGCGUAGGAUUAGCUAGUUGGUGAGGUAAAGGCUCACCAAGGCGACGAUCCUUAGCUGGUCUGAGAGGAUGAUCAGCCACACUGGGACUGAGACACGGCCCAGACUCCUACGGGAGGCAGCAGUGGGAAUAUUGGACAAUGGGCGGAAAGACCUGAUCCAGCAAUGCCG
rnacentral:rRNA from 1 species